UACGUAGGGGGCUAGCGUUGUCCGGAUUUAUUGGGCGUAAAGAGCGUGUAGGCGGCCAGGUAGGUCUGCUGUGAAAACUCGAGGCUCAACCUCGAGACGCCGAUGGAAACCAUGUGGCUAGAGUCCGGAAGAGGAGAGUGGAAUUCCUGGUGUAGCGGUGAAAUGCGCAGAUAUCAGGAAGAACACCCGUGGCUAAGGCGGCUCUCUAGUACGGUACUGACGCUGAGACGCGAAAGCGUGGGGAGCGAACAGG
rnacentral:rRNA from 1 species